CUUUCCCUUCCUCUCGCAAACACACUCGCAAAAACCCUUCAAAUGCUUUGGCUGACGCAGUCUCUCUCUGGCAAACGCUCUCCAAUUCGUGAAAGCACAACUUUCCCUCUCUCUCGCAAACGCUCCAGCCGCCGUAGAUCUCGACUUUCUCUCUCUCUUGAAAAUGCUCUUGGUGUCAUUUGAAGGAGCUCACCAAACGCUCGCAAAAACCCUCGCAUCCGCUGUGAUACACGUUCGCCGUCGAAAUCAACCUCUAGCCACUGCUGUCUCUUCCUCUUCCCUAUUCAUCUUCGUUCGUCGUCUCAAGUUGUUCGAUGCUUCUCCUCCCUCAUCCGUUUGAUGCAAAAUCUAGAAAAUAUCCAUGUGAAUCCACAUAAUGCAGAGGUACAAAAACAACUAAAUGAGAAUCCAUUCCUUUUCUCAUCCUUUUCAGUUGGGAGAAGCUCUCUUUUUCUGUAGGAAGAAAUCGACAAAACACAUCUGGAAGUGCCUUUCAAUCGCAAUCACAAGUUGGUGGUAAAAAUUGUGGCUAAAGUGAAAGAUGAACAUAAGCUAUUUGAUGAAAUGCGAAGGAGAAUUUUAAGUUUUAAGAACCACAAGUAUUUGUAAGUAGUAGUUGGUUAAUGAAUAAGCAAUCUUAAGGCUGUUUGUAUGGAUAAAGUAAAACAAUUGGGAUUGUUAUUUCUAAUCCAAGGGUUUCUUUUUUAAACAAGGAGCAUUUGGAGCAUUUUCAAGUUCUUGCAGAACUACAAGUCCCUUACCUGGUCGGUGGAGAUGCCGAUUGAUUUCUAUAUAAACGGCACAGCUAUAUCAGUAUGUCUUAAAUUCCUCAUCAUUUACCCUUGUUGUUUCGGUGUCUGCACUCAAUUAGCCAGUGAACCUAUAUUUUUAACGAGACCAUCAAAUUAGACAUUAAUGAAACUUGUACACAAGGGUAGGUGCAAUAUAUAUGAAUAUCAAAAUAACGUUAUCGUUUGUUAUCGUUUAGCGUUUAUUUUUUAUCGUUUAUAUAUAUUUGGUAAUUUACAAGAUCGUGUAUCAAUUGUAUAUUAUUCUA